rnacentral:ncRNA from 2 species
AUUAACAAUCAACUCCGAGCCAAAGAGCCUACGUCCUGUGAAUCGGGAUAUGGUUCGCGGCCGAUAGGGUAAGACGGGAAACGGUCUUGCCUCCCGUGUUUGGAAAGGAGCGUAAAUGGAAAUGGAU